GCUCCAAAAAAGUCUGAACCCAACUUUUGAAGAGGGAUGCACCUUCCAUGUCUGCCUCUCCUUGGGGAGAGAAGAUGAAAUAUUUCCAUCUUCACUGACAAGGACUUCUGGCAAUUUGGAUGAAUGAUGCCAAGAGAAGAAAGCAACCAGCUUAUAAACUUCCUAAGGAAGCAAAUUUCAAAAGAAACCCCAAACAUCACGAAUCACAAGCUGCUUUGUUUUCUUAUUCAUGACCUUCAUCUACCUUCCCUUUCAUCAAGUAAAUGGAAAUGUGUCAUUCUGAU
rnacentral:lncRNA from 1 species